UAUUGGUCAAUGGGCGAGAGCCUGAACCAGCCAAGUCGCGUGAAGGAUGACGGAUCUAUGGUUUGUAAACUUCUUUUAUAUGGGAAUAAAGUGAGGAACGUGUUCCUUUUUGUAUGUACCAUAUGAAUAAGCAUCGGCUAACUCCGUUCCCGCAGCCGCAGUAAUACGGAGGAUGCGAGCGUUAUCCGGAUUUAAUGGGUUUAAAGGGUGCGUAGGUGGUUAAUUAAGUCAGCGGUGAAAGUUUGUGGCUCAACCAUAAAAUUGCCGUUGAAACUGGUUGACUUGAGUAUAUUUGAGGUAGGCGGAAUGCGGGGUGUAGCGGUGAAAUGCAUAGAUAUCACGCAGAACUCCGAUUGCGAAGGCAGCUUACUAAACUAUAACUGACACUGAAGCACGAGAGCGUGGGGAUCAAACA
rnacentral:rRNA from 1 species